AGUGAACGCUGGCGGUAGGCCUAACACAUGCAAGUCGAACGGCAGCACAGUAAGAGCUUGCUCUUACGGGUGGCGAGUGGCGGACGGGUGAGGAAUACAUCGGAAUCUACUUUUUCGUGGGGGAUAACGUAGGGAAACUUACGCUAAUACCGCAUACGACCUACGGGUGAAAGCAGGGGAUCUUCGGACCUUGCGCGAUUGAAUGAGCCGAUGUCGGAUUAGCUAGUUGGCGGGGUAAAGGCCCACCAAGGCGACGAUCCGUAGCUGGUCUGAGAGGAUGAUCAGCCACACUGGAACUGAGACACGGUCCAGACUCCUACGGGAGGCAGCAGUGGGGAAUAUUGGACAAUGGGCGCAAGCCUGAUCCAGCCAUACCGCGUGGGUGAAGAAGGCCUUCGGGUUGUAAAGCCCUUUUGUUGGGAGAGAAAAGCAGCAGGUUAAUACCACGCUGUUCUGACGGUACCCAAAGAAUAAGCACCGGCUAACUUCGUG
rnacentral:rRNA from 1 species